GGUGAUAUGAACCGUUAUAACCGGCGAUUUCCGAAUGGGGAAACCCAGUGUGUUUCGACACACUAUCAUUAACUGAAUCCAUAGGUUAAUGAGGCGAACCGGGGGAACUGAAACAUCUAAGUACCCCGAGGAAAAGAAAUCAACCGAGAUUCCCCCAGUAGCGGCGAGCGAACGGGGAGCAGCCCAGAGCCUGAAUCAGUGUGUGUGUUAGUGGAAGCGUCUGGAAAGGCGCGCGAUACAGGGUGACAGCCCCGUACACAAAAAUGCACAUGCUGUGAGCUCGAUGAGUAGGGCGGGACACGUGGUAUCCUGUCUGAAUAUGGGGGGACCAUCCUCCAAGGCUAAAUACUCCUGACUGACCGAUAGUGAACCAGUACCGUGAGGGAAAGGCGAAAAGAACCCCGGCGAGGGGAGUGAAAAAGAACCUGAAACCGUGUACGUACAAGCAGUGGGAGCCUCUUUAUGGGGUGACUGCGUACCUUUUGUAUAAUGGGUCAGCGACUUAUAUUCUGUAGCAAGGUUAACCGAAUAGGGGAGCCGAAGGGAAACCGAGUCUUAACUGGGCGUUAAGUUGCAGGGUAUAGACCCGAAACCCGGUGAUCUAGCCAUGGGCAGGUUGAAGGUUGGGUAACACUAACUGGAGGACCGAACCGACUAAUGUUGAAAAAUUAGCGGAUGACUUGUGGCUGGGGGUGAAAGGCCAAUCAAACCGGGAGAUAGCUGGUUCUCCCCGAAAGCUAUUUAGGUAGCGCCUCGUGAAUUCAUCUCCGGGGGUAGAGCACUGUUUCGGCAAGGGGGUCAUCCCGACUUACCAACCCGAUGCAAACUGCGAAUACCGGAGAAUGUUAUCACGGGAGACACACGGCGGGUGCUAACGUCCGUCGUGAAGAGGGAAACAACCCAGACCGCCAGCUAAGGUCCCAAAGUCAUGGUUAAGUGGGAAACGAUGUGGGAAGGCCCAGACAGCCAGGAUGUUGGCUUAGAAGCAGCCAUCAUUUAAAGAAAGCGUAAUAGCUCACUGGUCGAGUCGGCCUGCGCGGAAGAUGUAACGGGGCUAAACCAUGCACCGAAGCUGCGGCAGCGACACUAUGUGUUGUUGGGUAGGGGAGCGUUCUGUAAGCCUGUGAAGGUGUACUGUGAGGUAUGCUGGAGGUAUCAGAAGUGCGAAUGCUGACAUAAGUAACGAUAAAGCGGGUGAAAAGCCCGCUCGCCGGAAGACCAAGGGUUCCUGUCCAACGUUAAUCGGGGCAGGGUGAGUCGACCCCUAAGGCGAGGCCGAAAGGCGUAGUCGAUGGGAAACAGGUUAAUAUUCCUGUACUUGGUGUUACUGCGAAGGGGGGACGGAGAAGGCUAUGUUGGCCGGGCGACGGUUGUCCCGGUUUAAGCGUGUAGGCUGGUUUUCCAGGCAAAUCCGGAAAAUCAAGGCUGAGGCGUGAUGACGAGGCACUACGGUGCUGAAGCAACAAAUGCCCUGCUUCCAGGAAAAGCCUCUAAGCAUCAGGUAACAUCAAAUCGUACCCCAAACCGACACAGGUGGUCAGGUAGAGAAUACCAAGGCGCUUGAGAGAACUCGGGUGAAGGAACUAGGCAAAAUGGUGCCGUAACUUCGGGAGAAGGCACGCUGAUAUGUAGGUGAAGCGACUUGCUCGUGGAGCUGAAAUCAGUCGAAGAUACCAGCUGGCUGCAACUGUUUAUUAAAAACACAGCACUGUGCAAACACGAAAGUGGACGUAUACGGUGUGACGCCUGCCCGGUGCCGGAAGGUUAAUUGAUGGGGUUAGCGGUAACGCGAAGCUCUUGAUCGAAGCCCCGGUAAACGGCGGCCGUAACUAUAACGGUCCUAAGGUAGCGAAAUUCCUUGUCGGGUAAGUUCCGACCUGCACGAAUGGCGUAAUGAUGGCCAGGCUGUCUCCACCCGAGACUCAGUGAAAUUGAACUCGCUGUGAAGAUGCAGUGUACCCGCGGCAAGACGGAAAGACCCCGUGAACCUUUACUAUAGCUUGACACUGAACAUUGAGCCUUGAUGUGUAGGAUAGGUGGGAGGCUUUGAAGUGUGGACGCCAGUCUGCAUGGAGCCGGCCUUGAAAUACCACCCUUUAAUGUUUGAUGUUCUAACGUUGGCCCCUGAUCGGGGUUGCGGACAGUGUCUGGUGGGUAGUUUGACUGGGGCGGUCUCCUCCUAAAGAGUAACGGAGGAGCACGAAGGUUGGCUAAUCCUGGUCGGACAUCAGGAGGUUAGUGCAAUGGCAUAAGCCAGCUUGACUGCGAGCGUGACGGCGCGAGCAGGUGCGAAAGCAGGUCAUAGUGAUCCGGUGGUUCUGAAUGGAAGGGCCAUCGCUCAACGGAUAAAAGGUACUCCGGGGAUAACAGGCUGAUACCGCCCAAGAGUUCAUAUCGACGGCGGUGUUUGGCACCUCGAUGUCGGCUCAUCACAUCCUGGGGCUGAAGUAGGUCCCAAGGGUAUGGCUGUUCGCCAUUUAAAGUGGUACGCGAGCUGGGUUUAGAACGUCGUGAGACAGUUCGGUCCCUAUCUGCCGUGGGCGCUGGAGAACUGAGGGGGGCUGCUCCUAGUACGAGAGGACCGGAGUGGACGCAUCACUGGUGUUCGGGUUGUCAUGCCAAUGGCACUGCCCGGUAGCUAAAUGCGGAAGAGAUAAGUGCUGAAAGCAUCUAAGCACGAAACUUGCCCCGAGAUGAGUUCUCCCUGAGACUUAGAGUCUCCUGAAGGAACGUUGAAGACGACGACGUUGAUAGGCCGGGUGUGUAAGCGCAGCGAUGCGUUGAGCUAACCGGUACUAAUGAACCGUGAGGCUUAACCUU
rnacentral:rRNA from 1 species